AGAAAGGAAAGAAAAAUAGCUGUCAUAUAUAUAUAUAUAUAUAUAUAUAUAUGACAGCUAUUUUUCUUUCCUUUCUU